GCAGCAUUCCCAAAGACUUCUAUGCAAAUAGGACAAAGAAAUUCUUUACCCCCAAUCUUGCUAGUGAGGAAGAGAAUGUUCUGUAAUUUAUAUGUCCUUCUGGUAUUCAAAGAGUUUUAAUAUUCAAGUGUUCUCAUGUGUCAACAAUGGCAUUAAAAUAAGAGCUUUUCACCUGGGACACAUUUAGGUCUUCGCCUUACUAAAGGGAAAAAUAUAAACUUUAAAAUUUAAGCCAUUAUCCUGGUCUAUGAAGACUGAAUAUAAAGUAUUUCUCUCUGAAAGGUAAUGAAUGCACCUAAUUUGUUUUUCUUUUAGAAUUUUGAUAAACUCUGGGCCUUGCUAGGUCUAAUUAUAUCCCUACAUGUGCCCCAAAAGUACAUUAAAUUUCACAUUUUUGCUACUGACAUAAACCAAAAGUCUAGCAGAGCUUCUUAGAUCUGCAGUUAAAUAAUAGUACAUUCCUGCAUAGCAUUAUUAUGUAGAUUUCUUCACCUCUCAACAGGUAUGGUUUGGGCAUGGACCUUCAGGUUUUGUCUACGUGAGAGUCACCAUGCAAGGAGGCAGAACUCUU
rnacentral:lncRNA from 1 species